rnacentral:rRNA from 1 species
UACGUAGGGUGCAAGCGUUGUCCGGAAUUAUUGGGCGUAAAGAGCUCGUAGGCGGUCUGUCGCGUCGGAUGUGAAAACCCAGGGCUCAACCCUGGGCCUGCAUUCGAUACGGGCAGACUAGAGUUCGGUAGGGGAGACUGGAAUUCCUGGUGUAGCGGUGAAAUGCGCAGAUAUCAGGAAGAACACCAAUGGCGAAGGCAGCUCUCUGGGACGGUACUGACGCUGAGACGCGAAAGCGUGGGGAGCGAACAGG